AUGCAGGGACUCAAGGCUGACUCUGCUCUCUCUCCUCACACCAGAUUCCACUCCUCUUCACUGCCCACCCCCCACCCAGCUCCACAGUUACUGUGGGGGCGGGCAGCGCGCACAGAUGCAAGUGGGCAGAGACCCCUCCCCUGGGAACUCACAGUCUGGUGUGGACCCCAGGGAGGAGCACAGAUGGAACCUGGGGGGAUGGUUCCAUUGCCCCAAACUAGAAGCAACCAAGACGCCCUCCCAGGUGAACAGUGAGAUGCAAAAUAAGCCUGUUUGUGUUUGAAGACUCAGAAGAGACUGCAACCCCUUGGAGGCACGAUGGGUUCGGGCCGCCUGUUGAAUGUGGACCAUAGGAGGUUCGGCUCCUACCUGACAGAUGGCCCACGGCCCUCCCCGCCAGCCCACGUGCUAACCAUCCUCACGUGCAGAUUUGAACCCCUGUCCCACAGUGCACCAGGACCCCUGCCAAAUUCUUACAUCCUGCCCUGAAAAUAAGGCCCAUUUACAACAUCUGACCCGGACAAGCCUCUCGUGGGCUCUAUAAAAAUUCUUCUCUGGGUCAAUCUCAACUAUUAAAACAAUUUGUAGGAAAACAAAAAGUGUUGAAAAUAAAUACACCAAAACACGAAUAAUCA
ensembl:lncRNA